UGGAGGACGUUCCAUACAACUCAUCAGUGGACUGGUGGUCGUUCGGUGUUGUCGUCUAUGAAAUGGCCACUGGCAAGCUGCCCUUUUCACCAAAUGGAACCUUUAAAGAACAGCUGGACAACAUCACUAACACGGAGCCAUAUUAUCCAAAAACGCUUACACCUGAAUUUCGUGACUUCAUACAACAGCUCUUGAAGACGAAGGUAGAACAUCGCCUUGGAGUCUACGCCAAUGCCCAGGACCACCCAUUUUUUUCAUCAGUUAAUUGGGAGACAGUAAAAGAACGAAGCAUGGUGCCCCCUCUAAAACCAAGAAUUAAACCAAUUGAUAUGCUCAGCAACAUUCCCUUCCCAGAAUACAAAAGCAGAAAGACCAGCAUGAACAAGGAAUUCACCUACAUAGAUCCAAGUUGGCUAGACAAGUAAUUGUGCCAUCACCAAGUUCCUAUCAAGUGACCACCAUAAGCUAUGCAGCCAUUCCUCCAUGAUAUCUGCUAAAAGCUGGCUUUUCCCACCUAUUCUCCAUCCAGUGAUAUUGGCUGGCUUCUCAACACACAUACCAACUGACUAAUUUGGUGCAGGUUUGUAGCACUGUGGAUAAGGUAAGUAAGACCAAGGUAGCCGGGGGCUAUUUUUUUAUUUUGUUUUAGGUUUAAAAAAAGAAAAAAAAAAACCUUUUCCUCCUUUUCCCAGUUAUGGUUUUAUCUCUACUAUCCAAUGUAGCCUCUGUACUUUCUCUAAUAGUUUGGUUAGUUACCAAACUCUUAAAUAAGACAAAAUGGGAUUUAUAAGUGUAAAACAAGCCCCUGAUAAUAAUAGGAAGCUUAUUAACUUGCCCAACUAGACCAAUAAUAAAUUAAAUUAAAACAGUGAAGGCACUGUAUGUAAUUUAACAUAGAUACAGAAUCAAUAUUUAUUAAGGUUGUUUUCUUAAUAUAGUAAAAUAUUUAAAAAAGCACAAAAAUAGAAAAAGUAUAUAAGGCUAAAAGUAUAAUGCACACAGUCCUGGUGCUUAUACCCCACAAUUUAAGCAAACCAGAAUAUACAAAAAACAGGGGUAUUCAUUCAAAUGGAUCCACUCAGGCCAGUAAGCAAACAGAAAACUUAUAAAGCAUCUUCAAAGAAGCCAGGGGAAGCAAAAAGUCACUCCUGGUAACUUUAAGAGCUGAAAUUGCUGGAUUGAUUCCCAGCAUUUCCUUUAACUAGGUCUGUGAUCUCUAAUGGUUUGGUUAGACCCCCUUGUUAACAAAAUCUUUAAGAAGACAAAAUGAGAUUUAUAACUGCAAAAAAAGCCCCUGAUAAUAAUAAUUAUAAUAAUAGGAAGCUUGCUAACUUGCACAAAUAGAUCCAUAAUAAAUUAAAUUGAAACAGGGAAGUCACACUAUGUAGUUUAACAUAGAUACAGAAUAGGUAUUUAUUAAGGUAUUUUUCUUAAUAUAGCAAUAUAUUUAAAAAAAAACACAAAAAUAGAAAAAGUAUAUAAGGCUUACAGUAUAAUGCACAGAGUCCUGCUGUUUAUACCCCACACUUUAAGCAAGCCAAAAUAUACUAAAAACAGGGGUAUUCAUUCAAAUGGAUCCACUCAGGCCAGUAAGCAAACAGAAAACUUAUAAAGCAUCUUCAAAGAAGCCAGGGGAAGCAAAAAGUCACUCCUGGUAACUUUAAGAGCUGAAAUUGCUGGAUUGAUUCCCAGCAUUUCCUUAAAUAAGGUCUGUGAUCUCACUAGAGGGAAGGGAUGGGGGUGGGCAUCGCUAGUGGGUUGUGAGUGGUCAUUUAUCAAUUUUUGGCCAAUCACAAUGCACUAGUGGCGUCCCUCUAUUGAUACCACAAACCGCAACCAAGUUUUAAAGUAACUUCCCAAACAGUUAACUUUUAAGCUAAAAGUAAUUUAAUCAGAUAUUCAGCUAGACCCUUAAUUAGCACCAUAAUGCAGCAUUAAAGGUAUAGAAAAAAACUUUUAAUACUGCUUUGAUAAAAAUUGGCUUCUCGAGUCCCAUUUUUAAUGUAGCUUUAAUCCUAUAUUCAUCACCAACAGAAAGACCUAGCCAAAUUUUCCAAUCUAAAUUUCUUCCUUUGCAAUGUCUCUGUGCUUUCUCUAAUGGUUUGGUUAGACCCCCUUGUUAACAAAAUCUUUAAGAAGACAAAAUAGGAUUUAUAACUGCAAAA